UCAGCCUCCUGAUUACUGGGCUUACACAGGGGUACUACUACUAGUUUCCCAGCCUCAUUUCCUAUUGCCAUCUUCGCCACUUGGCCUGGCUUCUCCUCUUCUCUGUGGCGCUCUCCUCAGGUCCCCACACACCUGGGAAGCCCUUGUGGCCUGUGCUCCUGCAGCCCUGGGUUAGGUGGGGCGGCGAUCAGCUCCUGUUCCCUGGCAAGCCUGGCUGGCCGCUGGCCUGGGUGGGGAUGGGCUGCUCUGAAAGGGCUCAGUGUGGAGACAGGAAAAGUCAACACCUCCGAGUGGGCCCUGCUGCCCAGGGCUGUGGGGAUGGAAAGGGUGGGGUAGAGGUCCUCCGGGCCUCCUCCAGCCACAAUCUCCCCACUUCUAUACUCCUGAGAGUCCCUGGCUUCCUGGACCCCUGGCCAGUGUGUCCAGGGGAGAGCUUGGGGUCCACCAGGAGGAGAACCCUUCCCUCCAAUCUGUCCCUGCUCCUCUGCCCACCCCAGCCAGAGCCUUCUUGCCCAGACGUGCCAGGAAAAUGUGGGCCUGGGAAAGGUGGUGUGGCUCCUGGGCUACCCAGCCCAGCCUUGUGAAGGGCAGCAGCCAGCCGGGCAUCACAGCGCGCCCCCGCGGCCCAGCACUGCCGUCCCCAUCCUGGGCUAAGGAGGCCCCGACAUUCUCUGCCCUGGUCUCACUCUGCAGUUCAGGCUGGCCUCCAACUCACAGCAGUCCUCCUGCUUCAGCCUCCAGAAUGCUGGGAUUACAGGCCUGUGCCACAUCUUCCACCACCUUGAUCUCCUCUGACCUUUCUUUGAAAGCUGUGCUUGGCCCCUGUAUUACAAAUCCCAGAGAACAGAGACCCCUUUGCUCCUGGUAUCUCACCAUGGUUUCUCCUGCUGGAAUUGAAGGCCACCCAGUUCAAAAGGCAGUCAGUGGCCUGCGGUGAGGCUUCCUGGCCCAUCCUUUCAGAGGAGGCCUUCUCUGUCCCUUCCGGUAUGGUGCCUGCACUCCCACAGGGAGAGUUCAGUGGCUCCCUGAGGCACAGAGAGCAGAAGUAACUUGUUCAUGGAUACAUGGCCAGGAGAGGUCAGGGCUAACAGUCAGACCCCAGCCUGGGUCCAGAGCCCCGAGAGCCCUCAGUGUCUUUCCGUGCUGCCUCUAAUCCCAGGAGGCCCUAUCAGAGGUCACUGCAUCCAGGCCCUGCACUCAGGUCAAUCUCUGCUCCCAGACAAGAAUCAAUCUAGUUUUUGAAGUUACCAGCUCCAGAGAGGGGUCCCCCUGGGGAUAAUGACACAAACGUUUGUUUGUUUGUUUAUUUAUUUUUAGUUUUUAUUUUAUUUUUGAUACCUGAAAUUGAAUUUAGGACCCUGCACUUUCCAGGCAGACACCUGUGCCACUGGGUGGGAGGCCUCGUCCUCUCCCCCGCCCACGCAAGAGCAGUCCAGAGAGAAGCCGGCUGGCCAUGGUGGCCCUGCUGCUCCAGGCUGUGUGGGCCUGCACUGGCGACCCCCUUUCCCCAGCCUCUAUGCACUGAGUGCAAAGCAAGGCUAAUUAUACACCUGCACUGUGAGCCCCAAGAGGCUGAGAUGCUGCAAGGGGGUGAAGGUGGAAAGGGCUUUGUAAGCACAGUGCUGGGUCCGUCAUCAUCUUUUCUUUUCCUCAAGACAGGAACGCACUAUAUUUGUUACCCAGGCUGCCAGGCUGGUCUCAAACUCCUGGGCUUAAGAGAUUCUCCUGCUCCAGCCUCCUGAGUACUGUAGCUGAGACUACAGGCAUGUACCACAACCUGGCCAUGUUCAUUCAUUAAAGGCUUCUGCUUACCAGAUCUGCUUUUAGCUCUGUAAGGUGUUUGUUUAUUUAUUUAUCGGUUUGUUUGUUUUUGAGACAAAGUUUCCCUAUAUAGCCCAGGCUGGCCUCCAACUCUCAAAGAUAUUCCUACCUCAGCUUCCUAAAUUCUGGAAUUACAGAACAUCAUGUGUCAACAGACCCAGCCUUGCUUUAUAGUUUAGCCUUCGUAACACAGAGAGGGAAACUGAGGCCCAGAGUAGAGAAAGACUUCUACUAGGUCACAUAGCAAACUGGGACCAGGAAGCAGGUGUCAGGGCCCGGUGAUUUCCCGCUGGAUCCCCUGUCUCUCUUGCCCCCUGCCCACUUCAGAUCCUCCCCAGUGUGCCCAGCGGCUGGGCCUGGCACUGGGUCUUGCCUGGGCAAAACCAGGAGAGCAGCGAGUGGCGAUUGGUGGACGUGGCCAAGGCCCAGCACAGUCUCAGCGCGGCUCUUUGUCUGCUGCUUUGUGAUGGUA
rnacentral:lncRNA from 1 species